UCCGCUCUGCUUCAGCUCAAACAGCUGCAGCAGAUCAACAGCUGGAACAGCCGCUGCCUCUGGUCGUCUUGGUGCCUUUGCACCACGGUGCUGCUGGAGGAAGCCCUGAUGCUGCAGCUCUGAUGGAGGAAGAGCUGAUCUCAGAGUACAUGCUGGUCUUCAUCCCAGACUCAACCAGUGAUCUGCAGGGAUCCAAGCAGCUGACCCAGGCCGUCCGCUGGCUGCUGGCCCGCUCUCCACCCCCCCUCCCUCUCUCACCUGUCAAACCCUGGUGCAGCUCAUGGAGGCCAGUCUGAGCCAGGAGUUCUGGCCCAGAGUUUUCUCCAACCUCCAGAACCGGGCGGCCGCACGGCUUCCCUGGCAGGAAGCAGCGCCUGUCGUCCGGCUCUAUAACGCCGUCUUGGCUCACGUUGCCCACAGAGUCUCCUCCCAGGACCUCUGCGGCCUGUCGUGGCCCCCCGCCGAGUUCAGUCAGCCGGAGACCCGAGCGUUGGUCCCUCAUCUGGGCUGGAACUCUGCGCAGCAUCUCUCCUGGCUGCGUGGCGUUAUCCUCAGUCUGCUGCUGCCAGAGUGGGAGGAGACACCUGCUGCAGACUGCUGGCCGGAUCUCUGCUCCUCCAUCUUUGGUUACGCUGCUAAGAUCCCAGCUUCACGUCACAGUCAGCCGCUCCUCAUGUCCCGGCUGGAGAACCUUCUGGAAAGGGUCCGACUUCAGGCUCAACACCCCCGACCCCCCCCGAUCCAGCCCAGCUGA